CACGUAGGGCGCAAGCGUUGUCCGGAAUUAUUGGGCGUAAAGAGCUUGUAGGCGGUUUGUCGCGUCUGCUGUGAAAUUUCGGGGCUCAACCCCGAACUUGCAGUGGGUACGGGCAGACUAGAGUGUGGUAGGGGAGACUGGAAUUCCUGGUGUAGCGGUGAAAUGCGCAGAUAUCAGGAGGACACCGGUGGCGAAGGCGGGUCUCUGGGCCGAUACUGACGCUGAGGAGCGAAAGCGUGGGGAGCGAACAGG
rnacentral:rRNA from 1 species